GAUACGUCUUACUAGAUGUAAGAGUCCGCAUUAUCAAGUCAGUCCCUGGUCCGAUACGAACCCGUACAUGUAAGAGUUCGCAUUGCCCAACAAUUUCCUGUUUUGUUGUGCUUUGGUAUGUUUGAAAGUUGGUAUAUAAGGAACAUAAUAUCAUCAAUAACACACACAAUGGGAAUAUUGGAGGAAAUGUCCGAAAUGAAACACAGGCCGUCGUUGAUGAAACUACAAAUCUUUACUACCAACGUUAACGCCACAAUUAAUCUAAACCUCCCAGCUUACAGUAUAAAGACCUACGCCCA
rnacentral:lncRNA from 1 species